UCUUGGAAAGGAGCCACAAAGUAACACAAUGUUCCGUACUGUGGCUGCACCGCCGCCGCUGCUGCUGAUGAGAACACUGUGUUCCAAAUAGACACACUGACCUGUAACCCGUUCUGUGCCGAACUUGGUCUGCCGGGAACAGGCUGUUCCGUAACAAGCUGUCCUCCUCCCACUCAAGGUCAGCUGACAGCUCGGAUCGUCGACACCGCCGGGCAAGCGCAAACCGAGACGACUGACACCACAGCGGCAAGCGAAGCUCUCGGCAGCCAGAUGGCUGAUGUGCAGAUUGUGGCGGCAUGUUCUCCGGCUCGCUAUGCUUACGUGGAAGUCAUGAUGACCUCAUCUGACCCGACGUGAAAUGAAAUGCUCGAAUAAAUGUUUAUACUGACGCGCUGUGUGAGACCACAUUGCUUGUUCCAUCAGCAACAUCCUGGACUUUGCUACGGCCAAAUCUGUCGACAGAAACGCUCAAACAAUAUCUGCUUUUUUUUCCCCUUGUCAAAUAUGUAUUUCAAUAUAUUAAUGAAUGUCAGAGAAAUAGCUCAGAACAGAACAAUCGUGAUGGUGCAAUCAUUUCAAAAUGACAAUUUGUGAUUUGUGUUACUGAUGGGUGCAUGAUGUCUUUAAAUCUUUUUUGUAUUUAA